AGUGAAUGAACCCGAGACUUCAGGCUGGUGAUGCAGUUUCUUCUAGUUUCCCUCUGUAGUGUAACAUAUAUAAUUGUGGUGAGUGUUCUUGAGAAGACUCGCGUGGACAUGAACAAGAUACGUUAAGCGCUGAACAGAUAAUAUAUGGACAGUUGGAGAAACAAAAUGGCAACGUAGGGAUGGGGAAAAAAUGAAGUAGGCAGUGCGGACACAGUAAAGGAAGGCUAGAAAGAUAAAUGGAUUCCUUGGUGAUCCAGCGUCUGGCGGAGUGAUGGCUGGCCGAUGCUAACAGGCGACUCGAAUCUAUUAUGAGGUGAAUUGCUGGUAAUGUUCAUCGUGGAGAAGAGAAGGGCGAGGAGAAAAAGGAUGAAAAAGAAAUAGGGGAAAAGAGGAGGAAGAAAGAUAGAAGGAUGCUCAAUAACAUUCCACAAUUACACGAGUCGCAGGGAGGUGCAUUACAACACUACCUUCACAAUUGGAGCCACUGUGACCUGCAUUUAGCACAGCAUCAGCUCCUAGGACGCCCUCUCCCUCUACUUCAGCCAGUGACAAACAGUAUAGGACAGUAUUCUCAAACAUGCUAGCGUCAAAUUUUGUCUGCUUUCUGUUGGCUCUAGUUUAUUUAUUUAUUCUAUGUAAGAGGGGACUCUGGCCUAAGACAACAAAAAGACUAUAAAAAGCCUCGCUGAAGGUGCCAGUUCUCAGAGUAUAGUCGAAACAGUUAUGUAAAAUUUGAGGAUAAGCAUUUUAAAAUAGAGUGGAAGUUAUACAGAUUCUCAAGUGCUUUUCAUGUUUUUAGUGACAUCUUUAUAAUUUUCCUGCACUGUCAGUAGGAAAAAAAAAAAACAUAUCGGAAUCCGAGUAAUAAUUUCUGUGGCUUUUUAAAAUGGUACCGAUGAGAGAACAAAGUGCUUAACAAUUCAGGGGAUAGGAGGGCACUGUGGCAAGACUGAUUGGCCAAAGACACGGAAAAAGGUUCUGUGGAGACCGAACGUCCGGUUAUUGAAAAGCAAAGAAAAGAGAGG